AACAAGGUCUCCGUUGGUGAACCAGCGGAGGGAUCAUUAUCGUGUUAUUCAACUCCCAAACCCUAUGUGAACUUACCACUUGUUGCUUCGGCGCGCGCUUCGGCGCCGCCGAGGACACUUAAACUCUUUGUUUUUAUAAGCAUUUCUGAGUGGCCGAAAGGCAAAAAUACAAAUGAAUCAAAACUUUCAACAACGGAUCUCUUGGUUCUGGCAUCGAUGAAGAACGCAGCGAAAUGCGAUAAGUAAUGUGAAUUGCAGAAUUCAGUGAAUCAUCGAAUCUUUGAACGCACAUUGCGCCCGCCAGCAUUCUGGCGGGCAUGCCUGUUCGAGCGUCAUUUCAACCCUCGAGCCCGACUCUUUUGAGGACGGCUCGGCGUUGGGGGACGGCAGACUCCCCCCGGCAUCUCGCCGGGGACGCCGCCCCCGAAAUCUAGUGGCGGCCCUCCGAGGCGACCUCUGCGUAGUAACUUGUUCUCGCACCGGAAAGCUCAGAGCGGCCACGCCGUAAAACCCCAACUUUUUUCAGGUUGACCUCGAAUCAGGUAGGACUACCCGCUGAACUUAAGCAUAUCAAUA
rnacentral:rRNA from 1 species